GGCGGGAUUGCCGCAGCGGUGCUCACGGGGAUUGGUGCAGCUACUCAAACAGCCGGAGGCAAACCUAGAGCCCGGGAUGAAUUGCUUUCUGCGCACGACGCCACCCGGGGUCGGGCUCUGCUGCUCCCUGGCGGCCGGUGGCAGUUAUUACACCAGUGUCCCCUGCCCCUGCAACCCCAGGGCCUGGCCUCAUGGAGUCUUUCUUCACAGUGGACGCCUAGCAGAUCUUCCGCCUCCGGGGAGGAACCCCUUCUAUGAUGACCGACUGGUCUCUUCAGUGACUUGGUGAACCCGUCCAGCUGGGGCGAUCACCGCUGCGGGGACUCUUCUCAUUUUCUAUCGCUGGAAUUCUUCAAAAAACUACGGGGCUGCCAUCUGGUGCCCUGAAAUCUUACCCGGGAAGGAAUUAGAGUCCAAUGAUGAUAAUAACCCACAGCAUAAGAAUUACAGUUUAUUGAGCAUAUGCUACAUGCCAGACAGUGUUCUAAGCACUUUACCUGUAGGAACUGAUUUAAUUGCCACAAUAAUCUUAUGACGUGGGUAAUCUAAUGCACCCUGCUUUACAGGUGAGAAAACUGAGGCUCCAGAGAGGUUCAGGAAUGCCACCGAUAUGACUAAUGUCCGGGGAUUUGACACCAGACAGCCUGGCGCCGGCAUCUUUAACGCCCCAGUUUUGUUGGCUCAAGUUAAAUGAAAGGAUGCUGCCUCUUCACAUAACCAUCCCCACACUCCCAAAUCAUCUGCGUGAAGCAAGUGCAGCACUUCUUAAUUUCUUUUCAUAUUUCAUGACUUCCAGGCUGAGUCACCCUCCGGUGGGGAGACCAGAGUUCAUCAGCCUUGCUCGGAGAAGAUCUAACGUGGAGUCUGAUACGCAGUGCUCAAAAGUGUGCAGUGAACCAACGAAUGGGGGAGAAAAAAGAGUGCAUAGGCCAGACUGAGAAGACACACUUCUGGGAGCGUACGUGAGUCUCCGGGACUCUGUGACAACGCGUGAUGUGACGCUUCUUAAUCGCGUGGAUUUGAGGACUGUAUUGGGUAUCCUGUAACACCUUCUUACGGUGUGUUUUUUACGUGUCUGUGCUUUUAAGGAAAGAACACCUGUGUCGGUAUGAUCCUGGCUAAGUCUAAUUACUAGUUUUGUUAAAGAGGAUAAAUCACCCUUGGUUUUUUUUAGA